GGUUGAUCCUGCCAGUAGUCAUAUGCUUGUCUCAAAGAUUAAGCCAUGCAUGUCUAAGUAUAAGCAACUAUACUGUGAAACUGCGAAUGGCUCAUUAAAUCAGUUAUAGUUUAUUUGAUAGUACCUUACUACUUGGAUAACCGUGGUAAUUCUAGAGCUAAUACAUGCUAAAAAUCCCGACUUUACGGAAGGGAUGUAUUUAUUAGAUAAAAAACCAACCCGGGCAACCGGUCUUUUGGUGAUUCAUAAUAACUUUUCGAAUCGCAUGACUUUACGUCGGCGAUGGUUCAUU
rnacentral:rRNA from 1 species